GGGUUGUGAGGUUAAGCGACUAAGCGUACACGGUGGAUGCCCUGGCAGUCAGAGGCGAUGAAGGACGUGCUAAUCUGCGAUAAGCGUCGGUAAGGUGAUAUGAACCGUUAUAACCGGCGAUUUCCGAAUGGGGAAACCCAGUGUGUUUCGACACACUAUCAUUAACUGAAUCCAUAGGUUAAUGAGGCGAACCGGGGGAACUGAAACAUCUAAGUACCCCGAGGAAAAGAAAUCAACCGAGAUUCCCCCAGUAGCGGCGAGCGAACGGGGAGCAGCCCAGAGCCUGAAUCAGUGUGUGUGUUAGUGGAAGCGUCUGGAAAGGCGCGCGAUACAGGGUGACAGCCCCGUACACAAAAAUGCACAUGCUGUGAGCUCGAUGAGUAGGGCGGGACACGUGGUAUCCUGUCUGAAUAUGGGGGGACCAUCCUCCAAGGCUAAAUACUCCUGACUGACCGAUAGUGAACCAGUACCGUGAGGGAAAGGCGAAAAGAACCCCGGCGAGGGGAGUGAAAAAGAACCUGAAACCGUGUACGUACAAGCAGUGGGAGCACGCUUAGGCGUGUGACUGCGUACCUUUUGUAUAAUGGGUCAGCGACUUAUAUUCUGUAGCAAGGUUAACCGAAUAGGGGAGCCGAAGGGAAACCGAGUCUUAACUGGGCGUUAAGUUGCAGGGUAUAGACCCGAAACCCGGUGAUCUAGCCAUGGGCAGGUUGAAGGUUGGGUAACACUAACUGGAGGACCGAACCGACUAAUGUUGAAAAAUUAGCGGAUGACUUGUGGCUGGGGGUGAAAGGCCAAUCAAACCGGGAGAUAGCUGGUUCUCCCCGAAAGCUAUUUAGGUAGCGCCUCGUGAAUUCAUCUCCGGGGGUAGAGCACUGUUUCGGCAAGGGGGUCAUCCCGACUUACCAACCCGAUGCAAACUGCGAAUACCGGAGAAUGUUAUCACGGGAGACACACGGUGGGUGCUAACGUCCGUCGUGAAGAGGGAAACAACCCAGACCGCCAGCUAAGGUCCCAAAGUCAUGGUUAAGUGGGAAACGAUGUGGGAAGGCCCAGACAGCCAGGAUGUUGGCUUAGAAGCAGCCAUCAUUUAAAGAAAGCGUAAUAGCUCACUGGUCGAGUCGGCCUGCGCGGAAGAUGUAACGGGGCUAAACCAUGCACCGAAGCUGCGGCAGCGACGCUGAUGCGUUGUUGGGUAGGGGAGCGUUCUGUAAGCCUGUGAAGGUGUGCUGUGAGGCAUGCUGGAGGUAUCAGAAGUGCGAAUGCUGACAUAAGUAACGAUAAAGCGGGUGAAAAGCCCGCUCGCCGGAAGACCAAGGGUUCCUGUCCAACGUUAAUCGGGGCAGGGUGAGUCGACCCCUAAGGCGAGGCCGAAAGGCGUAGUCGAUGGGAAACAGGUUAAUAUUCCUGUACUUGGUGUUACUGCGAAGGGGGGACGGAGAAGGCUAUGUUGGCCGGGCGACGGUUGUCCCGGUUUAAGCGUGUAGGCUGGUUUUCCAGGCAAAUCCGGAAAAUCAAGGCUGAGGCGUGAUGACGAGGCACUACGGUGCUGAAGCAACAAAUGCCCUGCUUCCAGGAAAAGCCUCUAAGCAUCAGGUAACAUCAAAUCGUACCCCAAACCGACACAGGUGGUCAGGUAGAGAAUACCAAGGCGCUUGAGAGAACUCGGGUGAAGGAACUAGGCAAAAUGGUGCCGUAACUUCGGGAGAAGGCACGCUGAUAUGUAGGUGAAGUCCCUCGCGGAUGGAGCUGAAAUCAGUCGAAGAUACCAGCUGGCUGCAACUGUUUAUUAAAAACACAGCACUGUGCAAACACGAAAGUGGACGUAUACGGUGUGACGCCUGCCCGGUGCCGGAAGGUUAAUUGAUGGGGUCAGCGCAAGCGAAGCUCUUGAUCGAAGCCCCGGUAAACGGCGGCCGUAACUAUAACGGUCCUAAGGUAGCGAAAUUCCUUGUCGGGUAAGUUCCGACCUGCACGAAUGGCGUAAUGAUGGCCAGGCUGUCUCCACCCGAGACUCAGUGAAAUUGAACUCGCUGUGAAGAUGCAGUGUACCCGCGGCAAGACGGAAAGACCCCGUGAACCUUUACUAUAGCUUGACACUGAACAUUGAGCCUUGAUGUGUAGGAUAGGUGGGAGGCUUAGAAGUGUGGACGCCAGUCUGCAUGGAGCCGACCUUGAAAUACCACCCUUUAAUGUUUGAUGUUCUAACGUUGACCCGUAAUCCGGGUUGCGGACAGUGUCUGGUGGGUAGUUUGACUGGGGCGGUCUCCUCCUAAAGAGUAACGGAGGAGCACGAAGGUUGGCUAAUCCUGGUCGGACAUCAGGAGGUUAGUGCAAUGGCAUAAGCCAGCUUGACUGCGAGCGUGACGGCGCGAGCAGGUGCGAAAGCAGGUCAUAGUGAUCCGGUGGUUCUGAAUGGAAGGGCCAUCGCUCAACGGAUAAAAGGUACUCCGGGGAUAACAGGCUGAUACCGCCCAAGAGUUCAUAUCGACGGCGGUGUUUGGCACCUCGAUGUCGGCUCAUCACAUCCUGGGGCUGAAGUAGGUCCCAAGGGUAUGGCUGUUCGCCAUUUAAAGUGGUACGCGAGCUGGGUUUAGAACGUCGUGAGACAGUUCGGUCCCUAUCUGCCGUGGGCGCUGGAGAACUGAGGGGGGCUGCUCCUAGUACGAGAGGACCGGAGUGGACGCAUCACUGGUGUUCGGGUUGUCAUGCCAAUGGCACUGCCCGGUAGCUAAAUGCGGAAGAGAUAAGUGCUGAAAGCAUCUAAGCACGAAACUUGCCCCGAGAUGAGUUCUC
rnacentral:rRNA from 1 species